GGUGGCUCAGUGGUAGAGCGCUUGCCUCACAGGCAUGAGGUCCUGGGUUCGAUUCCUCAGCACCA
rfam:Dipodomys ordii contig_20652, whole genome shotgun sequence.